CCCCUGGGACCGCUCGCUGGGGACCCUGUUACUGCAAAGUCCUUCUCACUGGGCACACACUCCCAGGGGUUAAUCACCCCUUCGUUUUACUGCUCCCCAGUCACUUACUGCAGGAAGCGUUGUCCAUGGGGUGCAGUAUAUCCCACCUCUGCCACCAGUUGUCACGGAGUGUGGGGGAGUCUGGCCCUGCACCCCUCUUCCUGGGACCCACAGUGACUCUCAGCCAGCCAGUAAAACAGAAGGUUUAUUGGACAACAGGAACACAGGUUACAGCAGAGCUUGCAGGCACAGUCAGGACCCCUCCAUCGACCCCUCUGGGGUCCAGGAAGCUUAGUCCCCUGAAUUCCAACCACCCAGCCCAAAACCGAAACUAAACUCCACUCCCUCCAGCUGGCCCCUUCCUUUGUCCAGCUUCCUGGGCAAAG